CGGGCGGGCGCGGGACCUGCUCAGCGGGAGGAACUGAGGCUGGGGUUGGUGGCGGUUGGAGUUGGGGAUGGGGUAACUCUGGUUUUCAUUUCUGGAAAAGUGGUUGGAUACAGCAGAAGAAGCAAAAAAGGACAGUAUAACGAUACCUUAUUUGAUGUAGGGAGACGCAUAGGACCCAAAAAGGAUUUACUGGGACUUGGAAUGAGUAAGCCUCUGAAUACACUGCAAGAAAAGUAGGAUUCUUGUGGGUAAGGAAGAUCUUUCAAUACGAGCAUCUUGGUACCUCUCAUUUGAAGGUGAGGUUUCCAAGCACACAUGUUCAACCUUUGUCAUUGAACACUGGGGGCUGGGUUGCUGCGAAGCCGGUAUUUCUUGUUUCAAAAGCAUUAGGGUGAAUUUUCAGAAGUAUUAGAGUUGGCUUAGUGGAUUUUUAAAAUUAUUGACCGUUUUGAAUCUCCUACCCCCCAAAUGCAAUCUGAUGUCACUUUGGGAUUGAGGACAUGGGAGCACAGAAGCGGGCUGCUAGAUAACAUGGGUUUCUCAGUUUAGCCUCCACCAUAUGGCACAGCUAGCAUCUUUGGCAGUUCAGAUGGGCCCGCAAGGCUGCACAGCCCAUCUGACUCCCUGUCAGUCGUCUCCAGGCCCCUCAAGCAAUGUCACCACGAAUUCAGUCCCGGGCCUGGUCAGCUGUCUUACUGGCUUUUCACUCAUUACGAGUUCCUUGGCUCUUCCCCCUCUCACAAACCUCCUGUUUAGAAAAUAGCUCCCAAGACCCAGCAAGAGAACUUGGCCAGUUCCCAAAGUGGACAGUGCAGAUAAUUUAUUACAUUGGAAAUGUUAAUGCAUCCCCCUUCUUGGCAGCCUAGACAUCCCUUUACGUUUUCUUGAGUUUGAUGAUAGGGAAGCUAAUGUGCUCAUUGGGAAACGCGGUUACGUUCAGGAAUUUUCACGAUCGAUUAUCACUAGCAGUAAAGAGAAGGGUGAGAUUACGGCACGCGCCCAAAUUUUAUAGGGUGGGGUUGAAGAAAGGGAGAGGGGGACAAAAAAAGGGAUUAGAGUCCGUUAGGACGAAGUGUUUUGAAAACGGAAGCGACGGUGAACUCCAAAAACCCGCUUUUCUGCCCGCGAACUCCGCACCGCCUGUGGUGGUGAGGGUGCUCGGCAGGCAGGAGGCUCAGACCCGCCAGGGCUCGCGGCAAAGCUUGGCGCUGCAGUGCGCGCCGCCUGGGAGGCUCAGCGCCGGAUGGCGGGUAGGAGGGCGGGACCUGAGCGAGCACCCCGACACCCCACGCUGGGGAAGCCCUCCCAUACUUGACGUCAUCGAAGCGCUGGCCUGUGGCGGGGCGGAUGGAAGGAGGUUCCCGCUUUGAUUGCCGCCCCGCGGGCUUUUUAAAGGGUACCCUGGGGAAUACGCUCCAGGAGCUAUGGGAGGAGCGAGGGUCUCGGAUAGGAGGGGAAGUUUGGUAGGUUUAGGGGGACGAGACCCUAGAGGUUUGGGAAGCCGUGCUUAGCCCUUGAGGGGGGAAUCAGGACAACCAGGAAAGUGCACUCACUUGGGGGUGGAGUGGAAACUGCAGCGCACCGCCGGGAGGAGGAUCGGCUCCGAGGAAGAGGUGUUGUGGUUGAGUAACAUCCUUUUCUUUCAGGAUCCAACCCUUCCAAGGGGCUUCUUGCGGAAGGUACAGUUUGUAAUACCCGAUUAGGGCCAAGAAAUGUCACGAAAUUUUACAGCCUAGUUUACAUUUUGAACUGUGUGAAAUUUAGAUUCUGGAGAUGCCUGGUUGCUUUAGAAAGAAUGAAUCAAUGUGGUUCCGCAAGCUCAGGAUUCAGAAAAAUUCCACACUCUCCGUUAUGGUUUUCCUAAAGAGUUCUCUCUCUUAUUAUUUCCAAAGGAGAAUAUCAUUCGGGUGCUCGCCAACAGCAUGAAGCAGCAGCGACGUCAAGGUUCCCCCAAGGUGAGUUUUCUGGACUUGCCCUUCUCUUCAUUCUGAUCUCUAACAAACUAAUUCUUGCUAAAGAAGGUAUCUGCAGGAAUUAUGGGAGAAUACGAGAAUUAAAAACCUUUAACUACAGAAUCUAAAGUCUUAAAACGGAUUCUCACAACUGAUGUUAGCCACUUAUACCUAGCUGGCGGGCGCUUCCUGGUUUGUCUCCAUAGGGGACGAAGCGUGGGUGUGUCAGACAGGCAGUGCAUUGCUAGCUGGCUGUUAGAACUUCGUCCCAACAGUGGCUAGCUGCACUACCCUCUGCUGCACUUAGAAGCAUGCAAAGACGUGGAAAUAGUGCCAUCUGGUGGAUAAGGGGGUGUUCUCACGACAGCUACUAAAAGCUGGAUCCAGUAGAGUAUUUCUGCCCCUUGAAGCCCUAACCCAAAGCUUGUAGUUCUUCUAAAGUGUGUAUAUUUACCUGCGUUUAUAUCUGUGCAGCACGUGCGCUCGUGGUGCCCGUGGAGCUUAAGAAGAGGGCUUCUAAUGCCUGAAGCCAGAGUUUCAGGCUUUUGGGGGCUGCUCUGUUGGUGCUAAGAAUCUAAUCUGGGUUCUCUGGAAGAGUAGCCAGUGCUCUUACACGCUGAGUCAUCUCUCCAGCCCCUUUACUUUAAUAGAUGGAAAAGUUAAAUGCUCACAUGACUUGCACCUCUAGUACCAUUUACUUCUCUUUACACCAAAUAGCUCACAUCCUUUUAGAUUUAGAUUAAUUCAAAUCUCACCAUUUGAAUAUUUUCUAGAUAACGUACAUUUUCUAUAUCCAGUGACACUCAAAAUCGAAUAUAGAGCAGGCCUUUUAAAAUGCAGUGACUAAUGUUACCUAUAGAAAAAUAACAUUUAAAGGCCCUUACAUUCUUUAAACAUUUUAAUACUGUUCUACCAUACAUAUUUCUUUAGUUAUAUUUCCUAAAACCAAAUUAUUUAUCUUCUAGAUACUUUACUGCCUAAAUUAAAUUAAAAUUUUGUUAAUUCCUUUUUACUGUGGUAACAUCUUUAGUUAAACAUUAAGUUUGGAGAACCUAAGUAUAAGAAUUCAGAGUUCCUAGUCAGGCACUUAGUCCCACCACUUGAGAGGCAGAGGCAGGUGGAUCUCUAAGCUUCAGGCCAGCCUGGUCUACACAGCAGUUUCAAGCCAGCCAGGACUGCACAGAGAAACUCUGUCUGGAAAAAAAAAUUAGCCAACCAAUUCUCUCUCAAGAAAAAACUAAACACCAAAACUCAAAUUUAAAGUUCUUUUUAAAAACAAAACAAAACAAAACAAAACAAAACAUGGGUAUAGCUUAGAAAUAUAAACUUUUGUUUCUUAUAGUUUAGUAGAAAGGAAACAAGGUUUCUCUCUUAAUCUUCUUCAGUGUAACUAUUACGAUUAGAGCUCUGGCGUCGACAAGGUGGUUCGGCUGGUAAAGGCACCCACAUGCCUUUCACAGAUCCACUCACGGGGUGGUCUGAUCCCCAGAAUUCACAUGGUGGAGGGAGAGACCCGCCUCCCUCAGAUUUCCUUUGCUCUCUGUAGCCACGCCACCCCACUCCAGCAGUUCCGCAGCAGUGUUUUUGUUACAGACUUAGCCUCAGAGACUCCAUGGACCGGGAAAAUCAGCGCUUGCCAGACUCAGGUAGGCAGUGUGUUGUUAGCUGGCUGCGUUGGGUUAAGUAAGCAGCCACAGCUACCCUGCCACUUGCUUCUGGACGGGUCUUCUUGUUAAUGAAGUUUUAGCUGUGUGCGAUGGGUUGGCAGUGUAUUGUUAGCUGGUUGAGUAUGUAAAAGGCACCAGCUAACAUGCAACUGCUCUCCUAUUGCACAUACAAUCAACAGCAGGAUGCAAGUACAUUUAUAACGCAUGCAUGUGCUUUGUCAUGAGGAGGGACACUAUGAGAGCAGUUAUUAGUGGCUUUGGGUGACAGGGUGGACAGAUUUAUAGUAGCGAAAGUACUAACUAUUGUUACCUUAAAAACUCUAGCUAAAUCUUUAAAAAAAAAAAGGGGGGGGGCUGGAGAGAUGGCUCAGCGGUUAAGAGCACCCGACUGCUCUUCCAGAGGUCAUGAGUUCAAUUCCCAGCAACCACAUGGUGGCUCACAACCAUCUGUAAAGAGAUCUGAUGCCCUCUUCUGGUGUAUCUGAAGACAGCUACAGUGUACUUAUAUAUAAUAAAUGAACAAAUAAAUCUUAAAAAAAAAAAAAAAACUCUAGUAAUAUUUUCGGAGCCCUAGCUUGACAUUAUUAAAGCAUUUAUUAAGUUACGUGUGUGCUUUUUAGAUGUAAGAUUUAGAAUAUAAUGGGAAGUCCCAUGUAUUUGCCCAAGUUUUCAACUAAAUGUCUGAUGUUCUGGGGUCACGGCUUCAUAAUGGAGCAGUAGAGUGGGUCUCUAGACUGUAUGUGAACUCCAAGUGAAGGGAGGAUUUGUGUCAGUUAUCAAAAUGACCCACAGAUAAAACAUUUUCACUCGAAGUAUCUAGAAAAUUUGGGAUAUUUGGGGGAAUAGGGGUAGGGAUAGGCUGUCUUGUUUGGGGGAAUCUUAACUCAGUUCUCCUACUUUGUGUAAAAUUCUGCAAAUAAUUUUUACAAUAAUCGGAAGAACACCAGAUCUAGUUUAUGAAGAGGGAAGAACUGACCACAAAUAUUAUUUAAAUUACUUCCUCAUUCUGUGGGAGGCCAUUUGACUCACAGAACAGUCAGAGGGUCAUAUGGUGACGUCAGGUGGACAUCUGCAGGAAAUCACUAGAACUGACUUUGGUGUCCUGGCCUAUCAGAGGCAUCUAUGGCAAAAGGAACAUAGUGCACUCUCUAAGUUAUUAGGCCAAGUUUUACUGGUGAAAUAAAUUUGUGUUAACUUAAAUUUAAAUAUAUUUCUUGGACGUAGGCUAAACAGAUACUGUAAGUUGAUUUCUAUGUAUUUUACUCUUUUCAAAUCUCAUCCUUUUUUGUUGUUGUUGACUAGUAUUAUUCUAUUAUUAGGGUCUUUGUAUUUAAGACAACAAAGGUAAAUAUUGUUUUCGUAUUUUUUGUUUUUUUUAGAAUUUUAAUUCCUUGAGAAUUGCACAUUGUAUACAAUAUAUACAAUGAAUUUUGAUCAUAUUCAACCCAAACUUUCCACUUUUCCUGGAUCCUUUCCCAAUACCUCCCUUCUACCUCUAUGGUUUCUUUAAAAAUAAUAAUAAAAAAGUAGCUCUAAUAACAAUUAGAGCUGCCUGCAUUCACACGAGUGUGAGACCAUCCGAGCAUGAGCAAUCCACUAGCAGUUCCUGCCCUUGAAGAAAAGCGUUUCCCAUUUGCUGUUUGCCAGUGACUCCUCAGCUAGGGUGGAGCCUCCUGGCCCCGCCCCAUCCAUGCUGGACUGUUGGCCGGCUUCAUCUUGUACAGGUCUGCGUAUCUGUUGUUUGUUCUUGAGUGUAAUGACGACACAGGCCCGGAAGACAAUGUUUCCAGCACUCAUCCUUAUUCUCUGGCUGGCAAUCUUUCUGCCCCCUUUUCUACGCGGUGUUCCUGACUUUGUGGGUUGGUAUAAAUCAGACACAUCAACAGUCACCUAUUCUCAGUACUUUAACCUAUCACGUUUUCAUCUUUUUUCUUUUAAAGGUUAAAUUUCAGUAUGUUUUUUUCUUUAAUGACCUGUCAAUAAAAAUAAAAUCUACUAAGCUUA